GAUGAACGCUAGCGGCAGGCCUAAUACAUGCAAGCUGAACGGUAAAUGUUGUAGCAAUACGAUAUGAGAGUAGCGUAAGGGUGCGUAACACGUAUGCAAUCUGCCCGCAACAGGAGGAUAGCUCCCCGAAAGGGGAAUUAAUACUCCAUAAUAUCACGAGAGGGCAUCUGAUUGUGAUUAAACUCCAAGGGGUUGCGGAUGAGCAUGCGUCUGAUUAGUUAGUUGGUGAGGUAACGGCUCACCAAGACGAUGAUCAGUAGGGGAACUGAGAGGUUGAUCCCCCACACUGGCACUGAGAUACGGGCCAGACUCCUACGGGAGGCAGCAGUAGGGAAUAUUGGUCAAUGGGUGAAAGCCUGAACCAGCCAUGCCGCGUGCAGGAAGACGGCCUUCUGGGUUGUAAACUGCUUUUGCCAGGGGAUAAAAUACCCAUGCGUGGGGAAUUGAAGGUACCUGGUGAAUAAGCCACGGCUAACUACGUGCCAGCCGCCGCGGUAAUAC
rnacentral:rRNA from 1 species